rnacentral:lncRNA from 1 species
GACACAAUGUUUGUGAAAUGAAAAUUGGUUCAUGUUCAAAUGUCAACUCUGUUUCUGUCAUUGACUCAUUCACAGGACAUCUGUGAUGGGGUUGAUAUGAUGGCAGCGGUUAGUUCAACUCCCGCAACAUCCAAAGACGACACUGACAUCUGUGAUGGGGUUGAUAUGAUGGCAGCGGUUAGUUCAACUCCCGCAACAUCCAAAGACGACACUUGCCACCAUAUACUUACCAGCGCAUUUGUCAACGCUUUGGACCAUUGUGAAGCUUGCAAUGGACCUGUCUCCGCUCUAAGAUGGCUUGGUUACACAUGCAAAUUGUGUUCAAGGUCGUGGCACAAAUCCUGCUUUAUCAAGAUGAAUCCGUUGCAGGUAUGUUCAUUGUCUUCUAUUCCAUUUUAAAUUUG